CAAGUUCCUGGAGGAGAUCAAACAGCUCAUCAUGCUAGAGCACUUUUACAAUGGGCUCCACAAUGACAAGGCAACGACGCAUUCGUAUGUCAUCCAUAUCAACUUUCGAUGCCAUUUACUGCACCUACCAUGGUGACCACGGGUAAUGGGGAAUCAGGGUUCGAUUCCUUAGAGGGAGCCUGAGAAACGGCUACCACAUUCAAGGAAGGCAG